UACGAAGGGGGGCUAGCGUUGUCCGGAAUCAUUGGGCGUAAAGCGCGUGUAGGCGGCUCGAUAAGUCUGCUGUGAAAGUCCAGGGCUCAACCCUGGAAUGCCGGUGGAAACUGUCGAGCUAGAGUCCGGAAGAGGCGAGUGGAAUUCCUGGUGUAGCGGUGAAAUGCGCAGAUAUCAGGAGGAACACCAAUGGCGAAGGCAGCUCGCUGGGACGGUACUGACGCUGAGACGCGAAAGCGUGGGGAGCAAACAGG
rnacentral:rRNA from 1 species